GAUGUAACUUUUCUUUACAGUGGGUCUCUUUGUGUUCUUUUGCGAUGGCAUUUGAUGCAAAGGUGAUCUUUGUAUGGACAAAUUUUUAUGG
rnacentral:pre_miRNA from 1 species